UCAGGACGAACGCUGGCGGCGUGCCUAAUACAUGCAAGUCGAACGCUUCUUUCCUCCCGAGUGCUUGCACUCAAUUGGAAAGAGGAGUGGCGGACGGGUGAGUAACACGUGGGUAACCUACCCAUCAGAGGGGGAUAACACUUGGAAACAGGUGCUAAUACCGCAUAACAGUUUAUGCCGCAUGGCAUAAGAGUGAAAGGCGCUUUCGGGUGUCGCUGAUGGAUGGACCCGCGGUGCAUUAGCUAGUUGGUGAGGUAACGGCUCACCAAGGCCACGAUGCAUAGCCGACCUGAGAGGGUGAUCGGCCACACUGGGACUGAGACACGGCCCAGACUCCUACGGGAGGCAGCAGUAGGGAAUCUUCGGCAAUGGACGAAAGUCUGACCGAGCAACGCCGCGUGAGUGAAGAAGGUUUUCGGAUCGUAAAACUCUGUUGUUAGAGAAGAACAAGGACGUUAGUAACUGAACGUCCCCUGACGGUAUCUAACCAGAAAGCCAC
rnacentral:rRNA from 1 species